rnacentral:misc_RNA from 1 species
CUAGAUUCUCGGGGAGGCAAGGCGGGGCCCGAGCGGGCCUUAAACUGCUGACCCCCGGCUGGAAGCGCCGGAAGGCGUCUGACAGUGCAACCCUCUGUGAAACCCUUUUGCUGCCUAGGCAGCCUCUCCUCCGGAGCGGUAAGCCUGCCGGCGGCAUCAAGGAAACUCCUAAAUAAAACCACACCUUUGUCUGAAUAGCGCAGUCGAAUGACCAUA